UACGUAGGGUGCAAGCGUUGUCCGGAAUUAUUGGGCGUAAAGGGCUCGUAGGCGGUCCGUCACGUCGGGAGUGAAAUCCUGGGGCUUAACCCCAGAACUGCUUCCGAUACGGGCAGACUAGAGGUAGGUAGGGGAGAAUGGAAUUCCUGGUGUAGCGGUGGAAUGCGCAGAUAUCAGGAGGAACACCAGUGGCGAAGGCGGUUCUCUGGGCCUUACCUGACGCUGAGGAGCGAAAGCGUGGGUAGCGAACAGG
rnacentral:rRNA from 1 species